UUCAUUCUUUCUUCCUCACAAACAGCCGAGAGAGAGAGCUAGAAAGAAACCCAUUUACUUCUCCUCCUUUGCUUUCUAAAAAAAAAAAAAAAAAACCGAUGGAAAACCACAAGAUUUAACCGUGGAGCUUUCUUCAUUUUUCAACCAUUAACAUCAGUCAUGAAACAAGAAAAAUUAGCCAUAGUCUUCCUCUGGUUUUGCUCCACUUCAGCGGAGAGAGAGAAGAGAGUUGAGAGGAAGAAAACUCCAUCUUCUUCUUCCUGUCAUCAAUCGAGAACCAAGGCUGAUUCAGCCAUAGAUAUUUCACAAAAUUCCCCUAUUUCUUCAAGUUUAAACCGUAAGUGAGAGAAGUCAAGAGAGUAGAAAGGAUCCAGCUAUGUUGGAGGGGGAGAAAACAGAGGAAAGCUGGUGCAUAUCACCCUUGAGGUAUCGAAGGAGAAGCAAGUGAGCCAUCUGCAUUUUUUUUCAGCUUUGAUUUGUGAGGAAAAAGGGAGUUUGCAUCUGGAAAUUUCAGCUUGUAGAGUUGAACUUUUGCUUGAUGGCCAGCCUUGGUAUGGAGACAUGGCUUGUCUGAUCAAAGGGGCAAUCCAGGAGGAAACUUUUGACGCUAUUUUUGCUUGAACUAGGUACUGGGAUGACAAGGACAAGAAUAGUGCUAGUUGUAAUAGGAAAUCUUAAUCUUGUAUUUGGACGGCACUGUAUUAUGAUAUUAGUUUACAAGUUCUUAUCUUUUGGUCUGUAUUUUGGUUUGUAUAUUCAGAUGAUUGGUAGCAUAUAGAUAUUAGAUUGAAGAGUUUUAGCAUUAUUGAUUUGCUAUCCAAAGUAUAAGGAAUUCAAAAGUUGUAGUUCUUAUAUUAAGUUGGAGAAGUGAUUGAACUA